AUUGAACGCUGGCGGCAGGCUUAACACAUGCAAGUCGAGCGGUAACACUUCGGGUGACGAGCGGCGGACGGGUGAGUAAUACAUAGGAAUCUGCCUAGUAGGGGGGGAUAACGUAGGGAAACUUACGCUAAUACCGCAUACAUCCUACGGGGGAAAGCAGGGGAUCUUCGGACCUUGCGCUAUUAGAUGAGCCUAUGUCGGAUUAGCUAGUUGGUGAGGUAAAGGCUCACCAAGGCGACGAUCCGUAGCUGGUCUGAGAGGAUGAUCAGCCACACUGGGACUGAGACACGGCCCAGACUCCUACGGGAGGCAGCAGUGGGGAAUAUUGGACAAUGGGCGCAAGCCUGAUCUAGCCAUGCCGCGUGUGUGAAGAAGGCCUUAGGGUUGUAAAGCACUUUCAUUGGGGAGAAAGGCUGUUUGGUUAAUACCCAAGCAGGUUGAUGUUACCCAAAGAAGAAGGACCGGCUAACUCCGUGCCAGCAGCCGCGGUAAAGUCUAG
rnacentral:rRNA from 1 species